AGUGAACGCUGGCGGUAGGCCUAACACAUGCAAGUCGAACGGCAGCACAGUAAGAGCUUGCUCUUACGGGUGGCGAGUGGCGGACGGGUGAGGAAUACAUCGGAAUCUACUUUUUCGUGGGGGAUAACGUAGGGAAACUUACGCUAAUACCGCAUACGACCUACGGGUGAAAGCAGGGGAUCUUCGGACCUUGCGCGAUUGAAUGAGCCGAUGUCGGAUUAGCUAGUUGGCGGGGUAAAGGCCCACCAAGGCGACGAUCCGUAGCUGGUCUGAGAGGAUGAUCAGCCACACUGGAACUGAGACACGGUCCAGACUCCUACGGGAGGCAGCAGUGGGGAAUAUUGGACUAUGGGCACAAGCCUGAUCCAGCCAUACGGCGUGGGUGAAGAAGGCCUUCGGGUUGUAAAGCCCUUUUGUUGGGAAAGAAAAGCAGCAGGUUAAUACCCCGCUGUUCUGACGGUACCCAAAGAAUAAGCACCGGCUAACUUCGUG
rnacentral:rRNA from 1 species